rnacentral:rRNA from 1 species
UACGUAGGGACCGAGCGUUGUCCGGAUUCAUUGGGCGUAAAGAGCUCGUAGGCGGCUGCUCAAGUCGAAUGUGAAAACUCGAGGCUCAACCUCGAGCCUGCAUUCGAUACUGGGCGGCUAGAGUCUGGUAGGGGGAUCUGGAAUUCCUGGUGUAGCGGUGGAAUGCGCAGAUAUCAGGAGGAAUACCCAUAGCGAAGGCAGCUCGCUGGGACGUUACUGACGCUGAGGCGCGAAAGCUAGGGGAGCAAACGGG